CAUGUAGGCGGCAUAACAAGUCUGGUGUGAAAUAUCUCGGCUCAACCGAGGGAACGCACUGGAAACUGUUAAACUUGAGUAUCGGAGGGGAAGCUAGAAUUCCUGGUGUAGGGGUGAAAUCUGUAGAUAUCAGGAAGAAUACCGGUGGCGAAGGCGAGCUUCUGGCCAGAUACUGACGCUGAGAUGCGAAAGCGUGGGGAGCGAACAGGAUUAGAUACCCUGGUAGUCC
rnacentral:rRNA from 1 species